GGACGGCUCCGGACGGCUCCGACUGCUCCGGACGGCUCCGUCGGCUCCGGACGGCUCCGGGCGGAAUCGACGGUUUGAAUUUUUCGGAAUCGGAGCCGGAGUAGCAAUGCUCGGAAGCGAUUUCGAGCCGUGGGUGCGAGUCCGGUUACCCAUCACUAACUGGCACCGGUAUCAGGACGGGCUUCGGGAAUAGGGCUGGCAUCGGGAUCAGGCAUGACAUCGGGAUCAGACAUGACAUCGGGAGCAGGACUGGCUUCGGGAUCAGGACGGAAACCGCGUAAAUAUAUGCGAGAGGACGUGGAGCUCUGCUUGCGGAUGGCUAAUGCGGUAGAAAAACAGAACAUCAUCUACAAUAAAAAAUCUCCGCAUUACAAAAACCGAGACCGUCAAAAUGACGCAUGGAUGAGUCAGAAGAGGUCGGGUUGACCAUGGCAGAGGCCAAAAAAAUGUGGCACAACAUGCUGGCCAAAUAUCGGUCAUACCGAUCCAAAGUGCGCCAGAGCAUGCAGACCGGGUCAGCCUACGCCGAAGUUUAUCGCCCGCGAUGGCCAGCCUGGGAGGCUUUGUCGUUUAUGAACGAUGCGUCGGAGGACGCUGAACAUGCAGACACGGUAAGAAUAAUCUGUUUUUUUGUUUCUGUUAAUCGAUCUACCGCACACUUUGUUAUUAAAUGUAUUAGUUGCACACUUUAAGAUAUGAAAUGUAUUAGCUCUUUCUUUUUUUUGAAAAGUGGUUUUAUUAUGUUACUUUAUCGAUAAUAAUGUAAAAAAACAUUUAGCCAUUGGCUAAAUAUUGUAAAUAAUAAAUUAUUUUCCUAACUACCACGUUUUGCGCAAAUAAUGCGCAAAACCGUCACAGCCUUGAAAUUCUAUAGUUUCAUAUUUCGAAAUCGAAGGAAAUUAGUCGGUAGCUUGAUACCAUUUUCAUUAAACAGUACCAAACCGGCAUAGUUUUUGCUGUGGUGCAAUGAUGAGCUAUAAUUUGGUCGUGUGAAACAAAUGGCGAAUGACCCUGCUUAUGGUUUCAAGGUGACCAUACAAAAUAAUAACUAUAAUGCAAACAGGGAUUCAAUAAGUUCAUCCAUUGAUUUAAUAACUAUGUGAUACAGGAUAAAAUGUUCACAAAAUUAUUUACCGUUGAAAUUAUCCCUAGAAUUACAUACUUUUAACGUGCUACUGUACCAACGCGUACCAUUUCUGUUACUUCAAUAACUUUUGCCCUAUGUGUUAUAUUAAAAAAGUUAGCAUUUUGCAUGCGUUGCAAAAUCAACUAAGUUUGUUACAAUUCAUGCGUGGUUAUAUGCAUUGUUGUUGUUCUUAUAUGAUAUAUCUUUGAAAGCUCUAUGUUUUUUCGUGUUAUCUUGUUACAUGAUAUCACUUCAAAAAGUUUUCGGAAGCAGCGUUGUCACAAAUGGUAUAUUUAUAACAUACUAAUACCUUUUUACGUGCAACUUGCCCACUUUGGCCAAGACCAUGGUUUGCUGCAGAAAAGCCCGGCAUCAUAUCGAGAUUUGUACCAGCAUUCCAACUCUACAAAUUUUGUUUUUAUUAAAUACUUUAUUUUCACAUCCGAACCCUAAGUUUACCAGAGUAAUAUUAUCAAUAUAUUACAUCAAUAUUAAAAUAUUAUAUAUGUUUUUACUAGUUAAGGAAUAUAAUUAUUUGUCUUCAUUGAUCAGUAAAUCAACUGUUGCCAAUA